UUAUUAUUUAAUAUAUAAAAUUACAUUUAUUCAACCCGUGUAAUACACAGGGUUCUAACCUAGUAUGGAAAUAAAAGAAGUGGGAAUAACCCACUCAUGGUGACGUGGGUAAGGGCCAUGCAUGGUUUUUUAACCUCUAUCAUGGGGCUCCAUAUGAUCCAAACUAAGUCCACCGCAUAUUAACCCGUUUGUAGCAUCCGACCCAUUUGAUUUGUAACACUAUCACUAUACUUUCUUGAUCUGCAUUCGGUCCAAACGCAAACAUCAUACACCUACUACAUGUCAUAAUGGGCCCAUUUUAGAGUACAAUCCCAAUACCAUCUACUACCCAUAGCAUAAAGAAAACAUAAACUAGUUAUGAUGCUCAGUCCACUUGGAUGCUAUCACCAUCACGUGAUACCUACAGAUAACCACCCAAGAACUUGUCCCAUCAACAAGAAGAUUAAAAAAGAAAAAAAAUCAACAUUUGGAUGCUAACAUGGCAUUUCUUUUUAUAAACUGGAGCUGCAGCACUAUGUAUUACUUAGCUUGCUAAUCACAGUCAAAAUCUUUUAUCCAUCUUAUGUUGUAUACAGUGUGGCGCAAACCAGCAAACCGUCAAAACCAAACCGUUUUGGUUGGUUCAGCCAACCAGACCUGCUCGGUUUAGUUUCUCCAAAACCAGCGUUAGCAGUUGCCCCAUAAAUUUCGCCAACACCAGACGAACCGGACCAUGAACUUUCCUAGUUCGUAAAAAAUAUUAUAUUUUUGAGUUGUAUCAUUGUUUCAUGAAGAUGCCACGACGAUCAAUGGCUCCCCGAUUAUGAUUCCGGCAGAAACUACCAAGGUGAAUCCAAGUUAAUCAACCGACCAUAUAACUAUAUAGACUCGCGAAUCAUAUUCUAAAUCACAUCAACAAAAACCACUCUAAUAUACUUGGCAAUAUAUAUGUAUGAUGUAUAUUCAAACAUGAAGUUGUAAAUCUACUUUUUUUUUUUUUAACAUGAGAACCUGUUAGAAAAAAACUUACAGGGUCCGUCGAUACCCUUCUAAACACGAGAACCUAAGUUAUAACUAUUUGAACAAGCACAAGUUGAGGGAAUUAUGCUUGUUUCUCGAUCACCGAAUAAUCAAAAAGAUGCUUAUAAGCCUUGACUUGGUCCUUGGCGAUACCAAAAGACGACGUCUUUAUGAUCAUAUCGUCAUGUGAAACCUUAGGCUUCUUGUUGUUGGUAACAAUAACUUGAGGGGUAGUGACAUCCGAAACCUUUUUCGUCGGUUGUGGGUAGAGGAAAUCGGUUGGAAAGAAGUUGUACUGAAGUCCGGCCUUAGGCUUUUUGUUAUUGGGUAGAGGAAAUCGGUUGGAAAGAAGUUGUACUGAAGUCCAGCCAUUAGUUAUCUUGUAAAGAAAAGAAUGAAGAGUUGCAACUUGUUAGUUUUGGGUCCAAUGUAAUAGUAUUUAUAGACAUACAAAGUUGGAUUCAAAGUAAUACAACAAAAAACAAGUUUUUGUUGACUAUUAUUCUGGAAGCUUCAAAGUUGACCAUUUGAGACACUUAUUGUCAAUGAAUGAAAAGUAAAACAAAUUAAGCAUAUUUAGUGGAUAUGCUCAUAGAUGCUUUUGGAAUACUACUUUAAGUGAUUCCAUAAGUUUGUUGGUAGAAUAUUUUUCAUGAUGAUACGAAUUUACUGA
rnacentral:lncRNA from 1 species